GCCAGGGUGGCUCAGUUGGUUGAGCAUCUGGCUUCGGCUCAGGUCAUGAUCUCACAGUUUGUGGGUUCGAGCCCUGCAUCAGGCU
rnacentral:tRNA from 1 species